CAGGCUCUGCCUGUUGACUCUUUCACCUGCCUCUGCUCUAUAUAUUUGGUGACUUUCAACCAUGUGAAAAUUAGAAAAUUUAAACUUCUUCAUGAGGACGUGUUGGAACACCUCAUUUUAUGGCACCAGAAGUGGUCAAAAGAGAGCCUUACGGAAAGCCUGUAGACGUCUGGGGGUGCGGUGUGAUCCUUUUUAUCCUGCUCAGUGGUUGUUUGCCUUUUUACGGAACCAAGGAAAGAUUGUUUGAAGGCAUUAUUAAAGGAAAAUAUAAGAUGAAUCCAAGGCAGUGGAGCCAUAUCUCUGAAAGUGCCAAAGACCUAGUACGUCGCAUGUUGAUGCUGGAUCCAGCUGAAAGGAUCACUGUUUAUGAAGCACUGAAUCAUCCAUGGCUUAAGGUACAUGAGCAUUCACAGGUCACCUUCUACACUUUAUCUGAACACUUCCAGUGACAGGAAUGCAUUGCUCUAUGAGAUGGUCCUUUUUACCGUUUCUUUUUUCGGAGCAGUUUUCAUUAGUUUUUUUCAUCUUGUUUGCUGUUCCUGCACAUCAUCUGUGAACAUCUGAAUAGAAGACAUACCAUUUGAGUGUCAUGCAGCUAUCAGAGGGUAAAAAACAGGAUUAAGACAGAAUAUAUCAGGGGAAGGCCUCUUUGUUCUCUGCCAACAUGUGUUCCAAAGAUAUGCAACAUCAACAACUGAAGUAAUACCAUGUUAUAAUAAAUUAACUAUCUUUA
rnacentral:sRNA from 1 species